CAUGUACUCCCUCCGUUCCGAAUUACUUGUCACAAGUAUGGAUGUAUCUAGAUGUAUUUUAGUUCUAGAUACAUCCAUUUCUGUGACGAGUAAUUUGGAACGGAGAGAGUAGCUA
rnacentral:pre_miRNA from 1 species